CAAAAUGUGGGAGCUGGCUUGCCUGCGAUAGCGGUGCUGGAUUUACCACCGGCAUCGCGGGCAAGCCAGCUCCCCCAUAAAA
rnacentral:antisense_RNA from 1 species